UACAGGGGGUGCAAACGUUGUUCGGAUUUACUGGGCGUAAAGCGCGUGUAGGCGGCCUUGCAAGUUGGAUGUGAAAGCCCACGGCUCAACCGUGGAAGCGCAUCCAAAAACUGCAUCGCUCGAGUCUCGGAGAGGAAGGGUGGAAUGCUUGGUGUAGAGGUGAAAUUCGUAGAUAUCAAGCAGAACACCUGCGGCGAAAGGCG
rnacentral:rRNA from 1 species